rnacentral:rRNA from 1 species
GAUGAACGCUGGCGGCGUGCCUAAUACAUGCAAGUCGAGCGAAGCGAGGGCGGGUGAGUAACACGUGGAUAACCUCCUAUAAGACUGGGAUAACUUCGGGAAACCGGAGCUAAACCGGAUACUUAUAGGGAGAUCCUCGCUGCAUUAGCUAGUUGGUAAGGUAACGGCUUACCAAGGCAACGAUGCAUAGCCGACCUGAGAGGGUGAUCGGCCACACUGGAACUGAGACACGGUCCAGACUCCUACGGGAGGCAGCAGUAGGGAAUCUUCCGCAAUGGGCGAAAGCCUGAUGGAGCCACGCCGCGUGUGUGAUGAAGGUCUUCGGAUCGUAAAACUCUUUGAGUAGGGAAGCGGUACCUAAUCAGAAAGCCACGGCUAACUACGUGCCAGCAGCCGCGGUAAUUC